CUGUGCUACAGUGUGACAGGAUGUGAUGUGAUGUGAAUGCCACGAUUUGGGGGGGCCAGACCUGAGAUGCUCAACCAAGUACAUGCCUGAGUAUCUACAUGUGCAAGCCUUCACCAUCCUAUUAACCCAACUGCUCCGACAUAACUGGUUCAGUCCACGGAUAUGCGUAUAACCCACCUGCAGGUGUGUCUCUCACAACCACCUAGCCUGAUCACACAGAAACCUUCUCUGUCAUUUCCACGGGACCUGAGACUGAAUUUACUGCCAGCCAGGUCCAAGAUUGGCCUGUUACAAUUUGAAGCCAAUUCUCAAUGUCCAUCAGAAUACUUUGGAAGAUGCAAGCUACCUCUCCGAUCUAGCCACUGAAAAGGCCAAGAACAAACUACUCACCACACAGUGGUGCCAGCCGCCUCUAUUUGCCUGAGGAUGUCAACACACGUUACAUGAGAGCUAACCAAGUAUCAUUACGAAGGUUUAAAAUGGCCUCAAAACACCUUGAGCAGGCACUUUGCUAGGGACCGAUUUCUUUCCUUCAGAAAAUUUUGUCUUUUAGAAAAGCAACAUACCUAAAAAUUAAAGAUGCUGGAAUGGGUCCAUCCUAAUGGUGACAUGGAACAAAUAUGAUAAAAGAAUGUUGUAUA